UACAAUGGCCAUGCCACCCUAAAGUGCCCAAUCUCGUCUGAUCUCGGAAGCUAAGCAGGGUCGGGCCUGGUUAGUACUUGGAUGAGGCACCACCUAGGAAGACCAGGUGCUGUAGGCG
rnacentral:rRNA from 1 species